rnacentral:lncRNA from 1 species
UCUUUUGCUUCAAAUCUUUGAGGCAAGCUUUAAUAGAAGGUGACCUCUAUAUGUGUUCUCCCUCAAUACUAACUUUGUGACAUAAGUAUAGGUAAAGUUUUCAAUUAGAGUCUUUUCUAAGCCUAUAAUCUUAGAAUUCCAAUUUUUCUUUCAUGAAUAUUGCUUUCCUACCACUUAUUAUGUUUUUCUUUUAACAUUUUGAAUUUUUCCUUUUAUAUAACUCUCAAUAUGAAGUCCAUAGUAAAGGUAUUGAACAAAGUUAGUAUGAUCUAUAUCUAUCCAAAGAAUAUUUGAAUGAAUGUAUACUUAUAUGUUACAGUAUGCAUUUGGCAAGUUUGCACUUCCAGGUAUUCUAAUCCUUAAAAUGCUUUAAGUGAGUUCACCUUAGUACAAAUUGAUAUAUUUUGAUUUGUAUAAGUUGUUUAGUGUUAUGUUGUUCGGACUCUUCAAUAAUAUUUAUGAAUGUGUGUUGAAUACUUCAAUAGUAGUGUAUUUUUGGAUAUAUGAUAGUAGUGUGGCAAUAUUUUUGGAGAAUCGGACCAACAUAGAUUUAGUAAGUGAACUUUUUUUUCCCUUCACCUAUGUAUUUCUUCCUUAUGUAAAUGUAAAUGGAGACUUUUUAUAUUUUUUCCUACACUAUACCUUGAAGACAGAAUAUGGGAAAGUUAUUUAUCCCUUUUUUGGUUGAUAUCUAAGUGAAAACUAGUUUCUUCUUUUUAAACUGAAAGAAAUUAGUGAUAGCUAUUUCUGAAUUCUAAUAGAAAAGUGAUAUGAUCCAAUUUACUUUUACAAAUUGAUAUGAGUAAAUCCUGAAAUAAUUAGCAUUAUUUGUGUCCAAAUUGAUAGAUUUUCUCUUAUGACUAUGAGAUGGCUAUGGGUGGUGAAGCAAUGAACUUUAAUGACAUCUUUUCUUUAGUCAUGAUUUGAAUAUAUGUAUGGUCUGCAAAUAAUUUUUUAAUGUAUUUCUCAGCAUCUAGGAUGCAAUCUUAAUGAAAACUACUUCACCUGAACUUAACAAUAAUUAUGAUAAAAAUAUUCAUCUGGACUUGAUUUUGAUAAAGAAUCUACAUUCAUUUUAGUUUCUUUGGUAAUUCCUUUAUAAUUUUUAUUUUGCUCAAUUGUGAUUUGUUGAUGACUUUGCUCUUUUCAAAUAAAUUCUUAUCAAGGAACAUAGUUGUUGGAGUUCUUAAUUUAAGAAUGAUGUUAAAUAUAAACAAACUAUUUUACAUAAACGAAUUUAAGACAUACAUGGUGAAUAGUUUGAGGUUUUAGUAGAUUGUGUAUAAUGCCCUUUGUCUUAUGCUUUUAUUUUUGUAAUAAUCUCGAUAUUAUGCUCUCAAAUUAUUGAUUAUAAGGUUAAUAAUACCUUCACUCUAUCUUUUAAUUCAGGUUAUUGAAGAGGCAAAGGAAUAAGUGUUUUCUCCAAGUGUUUUAGUGAGUUUAAUUACUAUCACAUGCCAUGAAUUUGCAUUUUAUGUUUAUGUAAUUUCUGCAUUCACUAAAUGCUAGCAUAUAUUUUGAUUUUAGCAGGAGCUAAUUGGAAAAUUCUAAAAUAUAUUUAAUUUAACUACUUGAGGACUGUGAAGAAGUAUAUAUUGUUACUGGACAAUGUUUUAUGCUACUCUGUAUUUGAAAAAAAAUAUAAUUGGAUGAUAUAUAAAAAUGACAUGCUUUGAAGAAGAACAAAGUAUGCAUAACCAGGUUUUCCUCUACAUUUAUGUCAUCUUUUAGAUACUUAAUCUAGUAUUAAUAAUUUUCUAAAGUGAUUUGUACUUUUUAUAUUUACAGGUUUUGAUGAGUUUUUGUUACAAGACAAGAUGGUGAUUUUGAAGACUUCAUCCAAGUAGAGAAAUUGGUUAUCAUUUAGCAUGGAAUUUAGGAAAAGAAUAGGUAUAGCUAAGAGAUUGUGUAGACAAUACCUUGAUAUAUGUGCAUCCCAUUUAUACAGUUACAAAAUUUACUUUCAUAAUAUCUUUUUGUAAUUAAUUACCAAUUUUUAU